rnacentral:rRNA from 1 species
AUUGAACGCUGGCGGCAUGCCUUACACAUGCAAGUCGAACGGCAGCACGGGAGUAAUCCUGGUGGCGAGUGGCGAACGGGUGAGUAAUAUAUCGGAACGUGCCCAGUCGUGGGGGAUAACGCAGCGAAAGCUGUGCUAAUACCGCAUACGAUCUACGGAUGAAAGCGGGGGAUCGCAAGACCUCGCGCGAUUGGAGCGGCCGAUAGCAGAUUAGGUUGUUGGUGGGGUAAAAGCCCACCAAGCCGACGAUCUGUAGCUGGUCUGAGAGGACGACCAGCCACACUGGAACUGAGACACGGUCCAGACUCCUACGGGAGGCAGCAGUGGGGAAUUUUGGACAAUGGGCGCAAGCCUGAUCCAGCAAUGCCGCGUGCAGGAUGAAGGCCUUCGGGUUGUAAACUGCUUUUGUACGGAACGAAACGGUCUGCUCGAAUACAGUGGGCUAAUGACGGUACCGUAAGAAUAAGCACCGGCUAACUACGUGCCAGCAGCCGCGGUAAUACGUAGGGUGCGAGCGUUAAUCGGAAUUACUGGGCGUAAAGCGUGCGCAGGCGGUUAUAUAAGACAGAUGUGAAAUCCCCGGGCUCAACCUGGGACCUGCAUUUGUGACUGUAUAGCUAGAGUGCGGCAGAGGGGGAUGGAAUUCCGCGUGUAGCAGUGAAAUGCGUAGAUAUGCGGAGGAACACCGAUGGCGAAGGCAAUCCCCUGGGCCUGCACUGACG